rnacentral:rRNA from 1 species
AACGAACGUUAGCGGCGCGCUUAACACAUGCAAGUCGAACGAGAAAGGGCUUCGGCCCCGGUACAGUGGCGCACGGGUGAGUAACACGUGGAUAAUCUUCCCUCGGGCGGGGGAUAACAUUCCGAAAGGAGUGCUAAUAACCGCAUAAGACCACGUUCUCGAAAGGGAACGAGGUAAAAGCCGGCCUCUAUAUAUAAGCUGGCACCUGAGGAUGAGUCCGCGGCCCAUCAGCUAGUUGGUAGGGGUAANGGCCUACCAAGGCUAAGACCGGGUAGCUGGUCUGAGAGGAUGAUCAGCCACACUGGAACUGAGACACGGUCCAGACU